rnacentral:miRNA from 1 species
AAGUGGGAGGAUAACUUGAGCCCAGGAGUUGGAGGUUGCAGUGAGCUGUGAUGACGCCACUGCACUCUAGCCAGGGUAACAGAGUGAGACCCUGUCUC